GACGUAGGAGGCGAGCGUUAUCCGGAUUCACUGGGCGUAAAGCGCACGUAGGCCGAUUGUUAAGUCAGGGGUGAAAUCCUGGAGCUCAACUCCAGAACUGCCCUUGAUACUGACGGUCUCGAGUCCGGGAGAGGUGAGUGGAACUGCGAGUGUAGAGGUGAAAUUCGUAGAUAUUCGCAAGAACACCAGUGGCGAAGGCGGCUCACUGGCCCGGUACUGACGCUGAGGUGCGAAAGCGUGGGGAGCAAACAGG
rnacentral:rRNA from 1 species